AAAGUCGUAACAAGGUAACCGUAGGUGAACCUGCGGUUGGAUCAUUAAAAAUGAAAAAAAUGAUGGGAGAAUGUGAGUGAAUCUGGACAAAUGCCUGGGGCUGCAUUGCAAUUUUUGCUGAGGUGCUCCAGUGUCGUUUUCCGGAGAGACACAUGGUAGUUGUUUGCUGAAGACGGCCCAUUGUGUUGUGAUCCAUUCUCCUAUCAACCACUUUAUUGUGGACACAUCUUGUGAACUGUCAUGUCUCUGGCGGGAGGGUAGUGUUUUGCACUACUUGUCAAUGCACUAACAAAAACUCUGUGGCACAUGUGUGCCAAAGAGUGUGCAUCGUGGACAUCCCGUCAACGGAGUAUAAACCUUUUGUCAUACUUUUAAUUUGUCUAACAUUUCUUGUAUAAAUAUACAAAACAACUUUUGGCAACGGAUCUCUUGGCUCUC
rnacentral:misc_RNA from 1 species